rnacentral:rRNA from 1 species
GAUGAACGCUAGCGGCAGGCCUAAUACAUGCAAGUCGAACGGUAAGGCCCUUUCGGGGGUACGACGAGUGGCGGACGGGUGCGUAACGCGUAUGCAACAUGCCUUCCAGCGGGGGAUAUACCAGGGAAACUUGGCGCAAUACCCCAUAGAAUUACGGGACCGCAUGGUCUUGUGAUUAAAACUACCGGUGCUGGGAGAUUGGCAUGCGUGACAUUAGCUAGUUGGCGGGGUAACGGCCCACCAAGGCGACGAUGUCUAGCUGGUCUGAGAGGAUGAUCAGCCACACCGGAACUGAGACACGGUCCGGACUCCUACGGGAGGCAGCAGUGGGGAAUAUUGCGCAAUGGGCGAAAGCCUGGACNCAGCCAUACCGCGUGUGUGAAGAAGGCCUCGGUUG